CAGAAAAUCAAGGUUGUUAAAACAGAAGCACAAAAUGUUAUAAUUAUUAUUAUUAAUGGAAUUUUACAAAAUAAAUACAAAAUUCAAAAAUAAAAUACGACAUGGCUUAUCGAGUUGUAUCAUUUAGCGCUUGUUGGUCAAUAGUGUGUGCAGAUUUUUUCUUUUGUUUCUGGACUUCUUGCCGAAUUCAACACCAUGUUUUAAAUUGGUAUAAUUUCUACAAAAAUAAUCAAUCGAUCAUUUUAGAAUCGGCACUUCCAGAGGACUCAACAUAAAUCCAUUGCUUUGCAAACACGUUUAAUCAAGAUGUUAAAUUAUGGAAUUCUACAAGACUUUUAAUAAAUAUUUUUUAAAAUCAAAAAUAAUUCUUCAAAAUUAUAAAUAAAGUGUAUUUUUUAUAA